AUGAACGCUGGCGGCGUGCCUAAUACAUGCCCGUCGAGCGCACGGACGAGAAGCUUGCUUCUCUGAUGUUAGCGGCGGACGGGUGAGUAACACGUGGAUAACCUACCUAUAAGACUGGGAUAACUUCGGGAAACCGGAGCUAAUACCGGAUAAUAUUUUGAACCGCAUGGUUCAAAAGUGAAAGACGGUCUUGCUGUCACUUAUAGAUGGAUCCGCGCUGCAUUAGCUAGUUGGUAAGGUAACGGCUUACCAAGGCAACGAUGCAUAGCCGACCUGAGAGGGUGAUCGGCCACACUGGAACUGAGACACGGUCCAGACUCCUACGGGAGGCAGCAGUAGGGAAUCUUCCGCAAUGGGCGAAAGCCUGACGGAGCAACGCCGCGUGAGUGAUGAAGGUCUUCGGAUCGUAAAACUCUGUUAUUAGGGAAGAACAUAUGUGUAAGUAACUGUGCACAUCUUGACGGUACCUAAUCAGAAAGCCACGGCUAACUACGUG
rnacentral:rRNA from 1 species